ACAGGAGGAAGAGCUCUGCAUUGAACUGAUUUAAGCGUAAAACCUACUGAAAUCGCUCUUGCUGGGGAAGCAUAAGCUAAAACAAAAGCAACAACAAUAUAAACCUGCUACAGUUGUGAACUCUGCACAAAUUGUUCUGAGAGAACCCAGGAAGUUUGGGGAAAACCGGGCCAGAAGCACAACUCUGGGCACGAGAGAGAACAAGGAGAAGCUUUCCCAGCGGAGGCCGGGAUGCAGGCCAUCACUGUGGUAGUGAAGACUCCCAACAGAGGAGUCCAGCCGGGGGCUGCCCAGCUGCUUCACCCUACAUAGACCUGCAUCAGCCUGGAUGAGGGCCAUCUUUGUGCCAUCGUCUGUCCCCAGGUUACACAGUUACUUCUCUUUUCCUGCUCUUCAGGAAUCACAAAUUUGCUGAACAUGGCCCAGAUUCAGCCUGUAGCUAUGUUUCCAUUGGCCUCGCAGUGUUUUUUUCAGGAGCCAAAUUGAAAUGUUCUUAGGCUGGUCAUUAAAACUUGCAGACAUCACCCCUGCAGCUGUGUGUUCAUCAACACUUCCUUUUAACCACUAUCUAAAUUGCUUCCAUGUCCAAAGAAAUGCAGUUCCCCUUAUCAGGAUUGUGAGUGAAAGGUGAAUAUGUGUAAACAUUUGGACUAAAACAGAAUUGGAACCAACUCAAGUACAGAUGAGGAACCAAGACAGUUCAUUUUAAAAAUGUGUGU
rnacentral:lncRNA from 1 species